GCUGAAGUGAUACACACUGACAAUUUGGACACUUUUUCAAGUUGAGAAAUUAAUCAAAACCAACAUUUUCCUGCAAAGGUUUCAUUUUCAACCAAGCAGGCCUCUUCUGAUUAAAGAAGUUGCAUAAAAAUUCUUAUUCAUCUCUGCGCAGGAGCACUGCUGUAGCUGUUGGGGACUAAGGGACAGAGGUAUUACCACCACCCACUUCAUACCCUGCACUAAGUGGAUGUUGGAGCAGAAGCUUUUGUCUGCAAGAGGAGCAAGCACAAGUUGCUUAUUUGCAUCAAGAG